AAUCACUCAGGGUCACACCUGGGGAGUUUCGAGUACUCUACCAGUCUCGACUAGGGGAGGGAGAACCAAGCAGAGGCCCGUCCAUUCCAAUCCUAGCUUGACCGGUGGCUAGCGAGUGGAAGACAAUCUGCUACAAGU